rnacentral:rRNA from 1 species
GAUGAACGCUGGCGGCGUGCCUAAUACAUGCAAGUCGAGCGAACGGACGAGAAGCUUGCUUCUCUGAUGUUAGCGGCGGGCGGGUGAGUAACACGUGGAUAGCCUACCUAUAAGACUGGGAUAACUUCGGGACACCGGAGCUAAUACCGGAUGAUAUUUUGAACCGCAGGGUUCAAAAGUGAAAGACGGUCUUGCUGUCACUUAUAGAUGGAUCCGCGCUGCAUUAGCUAGUUGGUAAGGUAACGGCUUACCAAGGCAACGAUGCAUAGCCGACCUGAGAGGGUGAUCGGCCACACUGGAACUGAGACACGGUCCAGACUCCUACGGGAGGCAGCAGUAGGGAAUCUUACGCAAUGGGCGAAAGCCUGACGGAGCAACGCCGCGUGAGUGAUGAAGGUCUUCGGAUCGUAAAGCUCUGUUAUUAGGGAAGAACAUAUGUGUAAGUAACUGUGCACAUCUUGACGGUACCUAAUCAGAAAGCCCCGGCUAACUACGUG